rnacentral:rRNA from 1 species
AGUGAACGCUGGCGGUAGGCCUAACACAUGCAAGUCGAACGGCAGCACAGUAAGAGCUUGCUCUUACGGGUGGCGAGUGGCGGACGGGUGAGGAAUACAUCGGAAUUUACUUUUUCGUGGGGGAUAACGUAGGGAAACUUACGCUAAUACCGCAUACGACCUACGGGUGAAAGCAGGGGAUCUUCGGACCUUGCGCGAUUGAAUGAGCCGAUGUCGGAUUAGCUAGUUGGCGGGGUAAAGGCCCACCAAGGCGACGAUCCGUAGCUGGUCUGAGAGGAUGAUCAGCCACACUGGAACUGAGACACGGUCCAGACUCCUACGGGAGGCAGCAGUGGGGAAUAUUGGACAAUGGGCGCAAGCCUGAUCCAGCAAUACCGCGUGGGUGAAGAAGGCCUUCGGGUUGUAAAGCCCUUUUGUUGGGAAAGAAAAGCAGCAGGUUAAUACCCCGCUGUUCUGACGGUACCCAAAGAAUAAGCACCGGCUAACUUCGUG